AGUGAACGCUGGCGGUAGGCCUAACACAUGCAAGUCGAACGGCAGCACAGUAAGAGCUUGCUCUUACGGGUGGCGAGUGGCGGACGGGUGAGGAAUACAUCGGAAUCUACUUUUUCGUGGGGGAUAACGUAGGGAAACUUACGCUAAUACCGCAUACGACCUACGGGUGAAAGCAGGGGACCUUCGGACCUUGCGCGAUUGAAUGAGCCGAUGUCGGAUUAGCUAGUUGGCGGGGUAAAGGCCCACCAAGGCGACGAUCCGUAGCUGGUCUGAGAGGAUGAUCAGCCACACUGGAACUGAGACACGGUCCACACUCCUACGGGAGGCAGCAGUGGGGAAUAUUGGACAAUGGGCGCAAGCCUGAUCCAGCCAUACCGCGCGGGUGAAGAAGGCCUUCGGGUUGUAAAGCCCUUUUGUUGGGAAAGAAAAGCAGCAGGUUAAUACCCCGCUGUUCUGACGGUACCCAAAGAAUAAGCACCGGCUAACUUCGUG
rnacentral:rRNA from 1 species